rnacentral:lncRNA from 1 species
GUGCCUCUGAGAAAGACAGAAAGGUGGGGCAGGGUGGCAACGUUCAUAAUAUUUGAUAGUGGAUCUUGUCAGAAAUCUUAAACUACACGUGGCUGAUUCUCUUCUUCCACAUGAAAAACUCAGCUGUUUAAUUAAGACUAUAAGAACAGAUAAUGCAGACUGGAUAAUAGAGGCAACAGAAAUAAUGUGUGCCACCUGGCCUAUAUUUGAAGACUUUCUAUCACUCAAGACACUUGUAUUGC